CUGGGGGUGCAGCAGCCCCCAAGGGUGGGGCUGCCCGCCCAUUAAAGGGGAACGUGAGCUGGGUUUAGACCGUCGUGAGACAGGUCGGACUCUAUCUAACGGGGGUGUGCGCCGCCUGAGAGGAACCCACCCUCAGUACGAGAGGAACAGGGUGGGGGGGCCUCUGGUCAAGGGGUUGUCUAACAAGGCAGCGCCCCGCAGCUACGCCCCCGGGGAUAACCCCUGAAAGCAUCUAAGGGGGAAGCCCCUCUCGAAAAUAGGCG
rnacentral:rRNA from 1 species